UUAGAAGAAACCAAUUUGGUAUGCCAUUGUUAAUGGUAGAAAGGAAAAAAUCCCUUCUGAU
rnacentral:tRNA from 1 species